GAACGUGAUGAGGGCAUAGUCUCAUCAUAUCUUUGUAUAAUUCCCAAGCUUCAAAAAGUGAUUCUCCCUCUGUGUGUUUGAACGUGGUUAUAUGAUUUCUUAGCAC